CUUUACUCUAGCUUGGCACUGAGUCGUACAUAUAUUUGUGCAGGAUAGGUGGGAGACUAUGAAAGAUGGACGCCAGUUCAUCUCGAGUCGUCGUUGAGAUACCACCCUUGUAUAUGUAUGCCUCUAACCCCUUUUUGGGGGACCGUGCUUGGUGGGGAGUUUAACUGGGGCGGUUGCCUCCUAAAACGUAACGGAGGCGCACAAAGGUAGGCUAGGUCCGGAUGGAAAUCGGACUGGUCGUGUAUUCGCACAAGCCUGCUUGACUGAGAGACCUACAAGUCGAUCAGAGACGAAAGUCGGUGAAAGUGAUCCGGCACCAACAUGUGGGAGUGGUGUCGCUCAGCGGAUAAAAGUUA
rnacentral:rRNA from 1 species